GGACUAACCCUAGGGGAGGAGGUGGAACAGGUCAAUGCCUUCCUCUCUCGGAUAGCAGUGACCACAAAACACAUGUCAAAAGCAGGACGUACAGACAUGCUGACGCUGAUGGCCAUGCGCUGGAAUCAGCAAAAAGUCAGCAACUUGGCCACCUCACUGUCCCGCAGAUAUCUGAAGACCACAAAAGCUCUGGAAAAGCAAUUGCAGAACCUGGAGUCCAUGAAGGCUGAGUUGGCAGUGACUGAAAAGCAGCUGGAAGACUGGGUCAGAGAUGUGAAU